GUGGGGAAUAUUGGACAAUGGGCGAAAGCCUGAUCCAGCCAUGCCGCGUGUGUGAAGAAGGUCUUCGGAUUGUAAAGCACUUUAAGUUGGGAGGAAGGGCAGUAAGUUAAUACCUUGCUGUUUUGACGUUACCGACAGAAUAAGCACCGGCUAACUUCGUGCCAGCAGCCGCGGUACUACGAAGGGUGCAAGCGUUAAUCGGAAUUACUGGGCGUAAAGCGCGCGUAGGUGGUUUUGUAAGUUGGAGGUGAAAUCCCCGGGCUCAACCUGGGAACUGCCUCCAAAACUGCAUGACUAGAGUACGGUAGAGGGUAGUGGAAUUUCCUGUGUAGCGGUGAAAUGCGUAGAUAUAGGAAGGAACACCAGUGGCGAAGGCGACUACCUGGACUGAUACUGACACUGAGGUGCGAAAGCGUGGGGAGCAAACAGGAUUAGAUACCCCGGUAGUCC
rnacentral:rRNA from 1 species